rnacentral:lncRNA from 10 species
GAGAUCUGAUGGUUUUAUAAGUGUUUGGCCAGUUCCUCUUUUGCUUGCUUCUUCUUCCUGCUGCCUUGUGGAGAAGGUGCUUGCUUCCCAUUUGCCUUCUGGCAUGAUUGUAAAUUUCCUGAGGCCUCCCCAGCCAUGCAGAAUGGCAUUUCCAACUCUCUGACCUUGGUUGCAUCAUUGCUCUGCUGUGUGGAAAGAAGAGAGUGAGCGGAGACCCAUGGAGCGAAGUGUUUUUCCUUUCCCUUUCUUCCAGCUUCUCUGGGUUUAAUUCGGAAAGAAGAGACUGCAGAGGAGAGGGAAGACCGUGAGUCUGCUUUCACCUAGGUUUAAAGCGAAUCAAAGACGGCUGUAAAAAGGGAAACCGGGACCAAAAACAGAUUUGGAGCCUCGAAACUCUCCAUUGAAGGUUUGGAAGAUACGUUGCUGCAGACUUGAAACCGGCUCCAAAUCCGGCCCAAACAUGGGCUGAAAAUAUGGCGCGCUAAUCUGCUGCUUCCCCUCCUCCUCAAGUUCUUUCUGACUCUUCCCACCUUUCCCAGUUUCCCUUCCAGACGUCUGCGGCUCCCCACUCCACCCCCAGGAUAGCUACUCUACAUCCCGACAAUUCCCAGCUUCUACACCCAGGAGGAGGAAUUCUGGAACCACCCAGAGCGAACUCGUGCCGGGGCGGGGUGGGGACCGGAGGAAGGUCCUGCUCCGAAUUCUCUCCAGAGCAGAAAAGAAUUCUAGAGGCUACAUGUGGGCUGCUUUCCCCCCUUCUUCCUUUUUUCCCUCGCAAACCAACAACCAAAAAGUGUUUGGUGAUGGAAAGAACACCAGUGGAAAACGGCAAAUAACAGUAUUUCCAACUCCGAGUCAGGUCCUCUUUGCACUGCUUUUUCCUGUUUCAUUGCAAUUUAUUGAUUUUAUUGUGGUUUUUUGUUUAUUUGGGGCAAGAACGGAGAUGUGAACCAGGACGAGCCAGCAGACCCCCGAGCCAGUAUCUCCUCCCUGGGCAGGGAACACCGCCUGCACCGGUGCAUACUAGGAGACCCUGGCGGAGAAUGUAAACAAACCGGGCGCCGAGCCCUUGAUCUUUAUUUAAAUAGAGGCUUGUUUAUCGGUGUCAUCCUAGGAGGAUUAAUUAGAUACAUCUCUUCACAAUUUGGUGUCUGACACUCCAUCUUAGGAAUGCCUUAUCAUAAGGUGUUAAUUGGGGCCACUCAGCCACUUACGUUUCUAUUAAACACUGUGAGGGACUUUUCACAAGUACCAGGUUCUUUUUUACUGUACGAUGCAAAAACAUACAGGACCCGAAAUAGACUAGGGCCAGAAUCUGCUAUAUCCCGGCAGUGAUUAGCACUUUGGGGCUUUCUAGAGGGCAGAAAUAGGAGAGCACUGUUUUCGAAAUUCCAUCGCAUCUCCCAAUAUUCGGUGGUUGGAUGCAGAUGUAAGGGGGCUGUUGGGGGUGUGGGGAAGGCGCUGACCAGGAUAGGGGGGCUAUGAGUCUCCCUUCCGGAAUCUAAAUCAGUCAUCCACAGUACAUAUAUCUUAAAAAGCACAUCUUCAACGCUUUUGUCCUUGGCUCCCCGGUAAAGUUCGGGGCGCCUUUGCCAAAGUGUUUUGAGUAGGCCGUUCGGAAACGCGGAGCAGGAGUUCGAGCCCCCAAGGUCACGGGUGGCGCGGGAAGAACUCGGGCCCCAGAGGGACGGAGGGGAAGGGAGACAGGACAGUCGAGGUACAAGGUCCUGGCGGCCUUAAUUGGGCGCAGAAGGGGAGGAGGUCUCGGCUGAUUGCUCGCCUCCCAGCAGCUAAUCCUCUUAGCAGCUGCAUUUCCGCGCUACACAGUUAGCAGAAUGAUCCUCCCAGCUAGACCUUUACCCCGG